rnacentral:misc_RNA from 1 species
UUAAUUUUUUUUUUUUUACAAAAUUAUUGAAAUUUCUUUUAAAAAAAAGGGUAUUUGCAGUUUGGUUGACUAGUGUGCAAUAUAUUUGAACUAAUAAAUUAGUCUAUGUGGGAAGAAGAGAGGUUAUUUUGAGAUGUCUCAAAAUCCCAUGGAGUAAUAAUGUAAAUAGUGAGCACACACAUGACCUAAUUAGCAAUGAGUACAUGUUCUAGGCCACUAUUUGUCAAGCCUAGGAAUUAGAUUUUGGUGGGUGUAUACACCUAACCAAUUAACAAUUGGCAUUUAGAUUAAAAUUAUGGUAGGUCUCACAUAAAAAACUAAAACAACGUGCAUGCAGCUUUUAUGAAUUAGGUGUUUGCACACCCUAGUAUAAAUAAGAAAAUUCCAGUUGAUUUAUUUUCCACGUUAUUGAAAAUUAGGUAUUUAUUCAUAUCGGGCAAUACUUACUGCUACAUAAUGAAUACAAGGCAAUAGUAGAAAAACAGUUUACGUAUGUACUUAACUCAUAACCAUAAGUCAAUAACAACAAUUUGAGAAUUACUACAUUCGUUUUCACUGCCGUUACAUAAAACAGCGAUUUGAUUAUGUUUUUGUAGCAGAUAAAAAACAUUACUUUGAAUAGUGUAAAGAAUUGUUAUUGUAACAAUUUUAAUAGCAAUUUUGUUAUUUUUUAUAUAAUUUAUCAAUUUAUUUGUAAUAAUUUUUAUAACUGCUGCUAAAAAAAAUCAUUGCCUUAAAUCUAAUAUGCAUUAGUGACUUAAGUGUAUCAAGUGAAAACUAUCCGCAAGUCAUAAUUUUGUUUUGGUUUCGUUAAGCAAAGGGUUUGAGGGAAUUAUGUAAAUCCAACUAAUUAUGAAUAUAAUGCAUAUAGUAACAUUCAUAUGUAAAAUAAGUAAAAUUCAUAUAUUUAUGUCAUGAAUCAUAAUAAAUCAGACCUAAAUAAGAUUUUUCCGCAUAAAUGUUGUGUCCAUGAUGCUUGCCUUCAAUUACUGUAACUGAACCAGUUGAGCUUACCCGAUUAGGAGAAUCAUAAUAUAGUUUAAACUAAUUCUGCAUUAACUUUGUUUUAAUUAUUGUGGAUAUAUAAUUAGCACUUGAAAAUAUACAGUAAAAUUGAUACUAUCAGAAACAGGAAGGCAUACGUAUGCCAGAGAAUAAAGAUGAAGCAUUCUUGGAAAUUAUGAUAUUUUGGCAAGAAUAUAUAUAUAUUUUUCUGGAAUCUGAAUGAAUGUAUCUAAUUCUCCAGCCUCAUUACUCAUGCUUACAGUGGGAUAUUCUAUCAAAUGGUGGAGUCGUCCAAGAAAUGGCACAUAUUGCUAAUGG